rnacentral:rRNA from 1 species
UACAGAGGUGGCAAGCGUUGUUCGGAAUUACUGGGCGUAAAGGGCGAGUAGGUGGCCAUCUAAGUCAGACGUGAAAUCCCCCGGCUUAACCUGGGAACUGCGUCUGAUACUGGACGGCUAGAGUAUGGGAGAGGGAUGUAGAAUUCCAGGUGUAGCGGUGAAAUGCGUAGAUAUGUGGAGGAAUACCGGUGGCGAAGGCGGCCUCCUGGUUCAAUACUGACGCUGAGGUGCGAAAGCAUGGGGAGCGAACGGG